rnacentral:rRNA from 1 species
UACGUAGGGGGCGAGCGUUGUCCGGAUUUAUUGGGCGUAAAGAGCGUGUAGGCGGCCAGGUAGGUCCGUUGUGAAAACUCGAGGCUCAACCUCGAGACGUCGGCGGAAACCCUCUGGCUAGAGUCCGGAAGAGGAGAGUGGAAUUCCUGGUGUAGCGGUGAAAUGCGCAGAUAUCAGGAGGAACACCGAUGGCGAAGGCAGGUCUCUGGGCCACUACUGACGCUGAGAAGCGAAAGCGUGGGGAGCGAACAGG